rnacentral:rRNA from 1 species
ACGAACGCUGGCGGCACGCUUAACACAUGCAAGUCGAACGAGAGAAGAGAAGCUUGCUUUUCUGAUCUAGUGGCGGACGGGUGAGUAACACGUGAGCAAUCUGCCUUUCAGAGGGGGAUACCGAUUGGAAACGAUCGUUAAUACCGCGUAACAUAAUUGAACCGCAUGAUUUGAUUAUCAAAGAUUUAUCGCUGAAAGAUGAGCUCGCGUCUGAUUAGCUAGUUGGUAAGGUAACGGCUUACCAAGGCGACGAUCAGUAGCCGGACUGAGAGGUUGAUCGGCCACAUUGGGACUGAGACACGGCCCAGACUCCUACGGGAGGCAGCAGUGGGGAAUAUUGCACAAUGGAGGAAACUCUGAUGCAGCGAUGCCGCGUGAGGGAAGAAGGUUUUAGGAUUGUAAACCUCUGUCUUCAGGGACGAAAAAAGACGGUACCUGAGGAGGAAGCUCCGGCUAACUACGUGCCAGCAGCCGCGGUAAUACGUAGGGAGCGAGCGUUGUCCGGAAUUACUGGGUGUAAAGGGAGCGUAGGCGGGAUCGCAAGUCAGAUGUGAAAACUAUGGGCUUAACCCAUAAACUGCAUUUGAAACUGUGGUUCUUGAGUGAAGUAGAGGUAAGCGGAAUUCCUAGUGUAGCGGUGAAAUGCGUAGAUAUUAGGAGGAACAUCAGUGGCGAAGGCGGCUUACUGGGCUUUAACUGACGCUGAGGCUCGAAAGCGUGGGGAGCAAACAGGAUUAGAUACCCUGGUAGUCCACGCCGUAAACGAUGAUUACUAGGUGUGGGGGGACUGACCCCUUCCGUGCCGCAGCAAACGCAAUAAGUAAUCCACCUGGGGAGUACGACCGCAAGGUUGAAACUCAAAGGAAUUGACGGGGGCCCGCACAAGCAGUGGAGUAUGUGGAUUAAUUCGAAGCAACGCGAAGAACCUUACCAAGUCUUGACAUCCCUUGACGAUGCUGGAAACAGUAUUUCUCUUCGGAGCAAGGAGACAGGUGGUGCAUGGUUGUCGUCAGCUCGUGUCGUGAGAUGUUGGGUUAAGUCCCGCAACGAGCGCAACCCUUACUGUUAGUUGCUACGCAAGAGCACUCUAGCAGGACUGCCGUUGACAAAACGGAGGAAGGUGGGGAUGACGUCAAAUCAUCAUGCCCCUUAUGACCUGGGCCUCACACGUACUACAAUGGCUGUCAACAGAGGGAAGCAAAGCCGCGAGGUGGAGCAAACCCCUAAAAGCAGUCUUAGUUCGGAUUGUAGGCUGCAACCCGCCUACAUGAAGUCGGAAUUGCUAGUAAUCGCAGAUCAGCAUGCUGCGGUGAAUACGUUCCCGGGCCUUGUACACACCGCCCGUCACGCCAUGGGAGUCGGUAACACCCGAAGCCUGUAGUCUAACCGCAAGGAGGACGCAGUCGAAGGUGGGAUUGAUGACUGGGGUG